rnacentral:rRNA from 1 species
AGUGAACGCUGGCGGUAGGCCUAACACAUGCAAGUCGAACGGCAGCACAGUAAGAGCUUGCUCUUACGGGUGGCGAGUGGCGGACGGGUGAGGAAUACAGCGGAAUCUACUUUUUCGUGGGGGAUAACGUAGGGAAACUUACGCUAAUACCGCAUACGACCUACGGGUGAAAGCAGGGGAUCUUCGGACCUUGCGCGAUUGAAUGAGCCGAUGUCGGAUUAGCUAGUUGGCGGGGUAAAGGCCCACCAAGGCGACGAUCCGUAGCUGGUCUGAGAGGAUGAUCCGCCACACUGGAACUGAGCCACGGCCCAGACUCCUAGGGGAGGCAGCAGUGGGGAAUAUUGGACAAUGGGCGCAAGCCUGAUCCAGCCAUACCGCGUGGGUGAAGAAGGCCUUCGGGUUGUAAAGCCCUUUUGUUGGGAAAGAAAAGCAGCAGGUUAAUACCCCGCUGUUCUGACGGUACCCAAAGAAUAAGCACCGGCUAACUUCGUG